CCAUCCAUCGACUAGACUAGAAGAAAGACGUCACUGCGCCAUGGCAGCUCCCAAGAACAACACACUUAUUUUGUGCUUGAUCGUUGCUCUUCUGGCCAUCUCUACCUCUUUCCUGACCUGUCAUGCAGACGAUCGAUUAAGUGAAUGGUGCGUGCCGGACGAGGAGAUUUGCCAGGGGCCAGCGAAACCCGAAAACGAGCAAAAGUGCCGAGAUGCAUGCAGCGGUUUUGGCUUCAUACCGCAGAAGAGCGCCUGCGUGACCGACCCCAGGCCAAGGUGCUGCUGUUUCAAUAAUUAAGCAUCAGUCUAAUGCCCUUGGAGUGGUAUAGAAGGAUGAAAAAAGCUACCCACAAUUAAUUUUUAUAUGAUUAUUUAUCCAAUGUAAAAGUCAGAACAGAUCAUGAUUCCAUGUCCGGGAAUAAAGAUUUGAGUUUCCGAGA